ensembl:snRNA U6 U6 spliceosomal RNA
GUGCUCACUUCAGCAGCACCUAGACUAAAAUUGGAGCAAUACAGAGUAGAUCAGCAUGGUCCCUGCGUAAGGAUGACACACAAAUUCAUGAAGCAUUCCAUAUUUUU